UGCCAGCAGCCGCGGUAAUACGGAGGGUGCAAGCGUUGUCCGGAUUUAUUGGGCUUAAAGGGUGCGCAGGCGGUCUGAUCAGUCAGUAUUAAAAGUCCAGAGCUUAACUCUGGAAUGUGUAUUGAUACUGUCAGACUUGAGUAUCAUGGAAGAAGCUGGAAUCGGCGGUGUAGCGGUGAAAUGCAUAGAUAUCGUCGAGAAGGUCAAUAGCGAAGGCAGGUUUCUGUGUGAUAACUGACGCUGAGGCACGAAAGUAUGGGUAGCGAACGGGAUUAGAAACCCCCGUAGUCC
rnacentral:rRNA from 1 species